UACGUAGGGGCGAGCGUUGUCCGGAAUUACUGGGCGUAAAGGGCGCGUAGGCGGCCUUAUAAGUUUCGUGUGGAAGUCCAUUUUUCAAGGAUGGAAGUGCUACAGAAACUGCGGAGCUUGAGUGCAGGAGAGGUUAUCGGAAUUCCCGGUGUAGCGGUGAAAUGCGUAGAGAUCGGGAGGAACACCAGUGGCGAAGGCGGGUAACUGGACUGCAACUGACGCUGAGGCGCGAAAGUGUGGGGAGCAAACAGGAUUAGAUACCCCUGUAGUCCCUGA
rnacentral:rRNA from 1 species